rnacentral:lncRNA from 1 species
GAGAGGAGCGAGCGACUCCUGCGCAAGCGCAGAGUGAAGGGCCGGGAACAGUGGAGGGUGCGAGGAAGACAAUGGGGGAGGACCCUGAGGCGGCCUCUGUGAGCCGACAGGAACACGUGGUCGAUCAGAGAGAGACUCGAGGUUCGUGAACGGAUGGGGAGGACCCUGAAAAGCACUGUGGAAUACAGGUUUCUAGUAACUUCAAAAUCACAUCAUUUGGACUGGGUAAGAAUUGCUGAAACUUUAAUGAAAAGACUGACUGGCUUAUAAAACUGCUAACCCAAAUAGAAUAAAAAUUAAUUGAAUACCGAGGAAAUGCUUCACCAGGUUUGCAUACUUAAUCAGCCUAUACUGAAAUUGUUUAGAUAUACAAUUUGAAUGAACUCCAUGGUCUAAGUCAAAUUACCUGUGAUAACCCAUCAGUUAUCCAUGCUAUGUGCCCAAUUUGGAGAAACAACUGGCACCCAAGAGGACAUAAGUCCGAUGUUAAGCAUGGACUCAUGGAGAACCAAGAUGGCUGCCUUGUCCUUCGUGAGUCCUUAAAGCUUUUGUUAUUAAAAGUUAUGCAUUCCAUGACUCAUCCUGGAAAAGAUAAAAUGAUCCAAAUUAAAUAUGUUGGUGUGGUGACUUACAGAUUGUUAAAAUAGUUUAUAAACAAUGUUUAGUUUGUCAAACCCAUACUCCUGGGAAGUCAAUCAAAGCUUCAUGUACAUUUGGCUACCUGAUGAGGCAUUUAAACAUUUAUAAAGGGGUUUCAUUCAGUUGUCAUUUUCAAUGUAUGUGUUCUGGUUGUACUAAAGCUUUCCCAUGCAGGAGGGCUAAUGUUAUAACAGUAGAUUACUAUGUAUCAGUGUAUUUUCACCAGGUAAAGAGCUUUUUAUGGUUCACUGAGGACAAUCAACCCCUUCACAAUCUAGAACCCAAAGAUGGGAUCUUCUGAGAACAUCAGAGAAACGCUGCCCUUGGCAUCAUCACUGCAACAAAACAUCAGGAUCUUGAACCUUGGGGUCAUAAUCUCACAACUGAGCAGGGUCACUCUUGGAACUCUACAUCCAUUGAAACCCUUAAGGUAAAGCUAAUCAGGGAAGUUUCUCCCCAGAAGAAGAUGGCAUCCUUGAUGUGAGCAGCUCUUUCUGAAGAUCAUGGAUCAAGACUUCUUACUAUCAUGAGACUCUUAUCUUUGAAUGUUUUUCCGUUGCUUCCGCCUCUGUGAACAACAGAAGUGAGAAGGGGGUCUGUUUUGUGCACUUAUGGGGUAUACUUUUAUUUGUGAAGGGCUUUGCAGCCAGCUUUAUACAUGGAUAAUCUUAUAACUUGAUAGAUAAAGAUGAAGGCCCAGUGUAUCAUAGGUGAGAAACUUCAAUGGUACAUAUGGUGCCUCAUAAUCAUUCAGAAGCAGAACAUUGGUUCACUCCUCUUAACCCACAGCAUGGGUUAAAGAGACCAUUGCCAAGAGGCCUUCCCUCUUCUAGAAGGGCAUCAUUUGUUAGGUCCUUUUUCCAUGGUUUGGAAUUAAAAAGGCAAUGACUAGAAACAUAUCCCUCAUGGUAGACUCUGUAGCAGAUUCUACUGUAAAGGCUACACAACAGAUGUUAAAUUCUCUUGUGAAAGUUAUGCUAAAAAAUAGAAUUGGCUAAACAGGAAAGUACCUGUGCAGAUGCUGGCACUUAAGGCCUAUGGAGAAAACAUCAGGUGUUAUAGAGAGUCUGUUGUAGGGAAUUAACGAAAAGACCACUGAGUUAAGUCAAAGAAUGGUCUAUUUGAGUUUAGGUGGUCUGGUUUAUGGGGACCCUGGCUAAGGAGCAUACUCCAAAUUCUUGGUGUUAACCCUCUCAGUAGUCAUAAGAAUAGUCUCCCUGGUGCACUGUAUUCUCUCAAAGGUUUUAAAUGUUUGCAUGAAGCCAUCUUUAGAACGUCAGAUGGUCUCUCUUCAACUGGAAUGACAAGAGCUGAAAGAAAUGUGUGACCACGAGGACACCGAAACCGAUGAGUGACAUGCUGAGACUGGAAAUCCAAAAUGAUAGUAACGGAGAGUGGCGCUAACAUCCUAAGUUUUGGUCACACUCUUGCCUAAGUGACAACCUGACAAAGGGGGAAUUUUUUAAACAAAAUGAUGGGAGGCCAUUGUUUUGGACUGAGCACUAGGUCCCAACAGACCAAACCGAACCAAAAUGGCAUCAUUCGUGCUAAAUGUGACAUAAUCGAAUUAAGACUUUAAGGAAACACAUGGGUCCUAGAAUAGACCAGGUUUUGUUUUUCUCUUGCAAACAGGACUUUCCAGCAUAAGGUGGUAUCCUCAACUCAGUCCUUGUUCCUACCUUUGCAAAACUCACUGUUCUGCUUCCUAGUGGGUUUCAAGACCAAUGGUGACAGUGACAUCAAUAACUCAAGUUUCGAUCAAUCUCUCAAAACUGAUAAAAUGACCAAAAAGGGGGAAUUGUUAAAGCGAACUAAAUAUGGCCUGAGAAGGACUCCGUACUUCUGUAUUGGAGUCCCUGUGAACAAACUGAGCCUAACUUAAUAGGUAGACAAGAUUGAAAACCUAAAUUAGGAGUAUGUACCUGUCACAAUUGCUGAGUCUCGGCCAGUCCCAGCAGCCGUACUUCAAUCACUCAUACACUGCUGAAUGUUCAAACUGUGUGUAAAUAAGGCAAAUGCCAACCUGUAACUAAUCCAGGUGUUUCUCUACCUCACUUCCCUUUUUUUGUCUAUAAAUCUUCCACCACGUGGCUGCACUGGAGUCUCUCUGAAUCUGCUGUAAUUCUGGGGGCUGCCCGAUGUGCAAAUCAUUCAUUGCUCAAUUAAACUCCUUUAAAUUUAAUUCAGCUGAAGUUUUCUUUUAACAAGAGUGAGAUAAGAAUCUGUGUUCUUAUCCCCCAGAAUGGAC